rnacentral:rRNA from 1 species
CAGCCGCCGCGGUAAUACGAAGGGUGCAAGCGUUACUCGGAAUUACUGGGCGUAAAGCGUGCGUAGGUGGUGGUUUAAGUCCGUUGUGAAAGCCCUGGGCUCAACCUGGGAAUUGCAGUGGAUACUGGGUCACUAGAGUGUGGUAGAGGAUAGUGGAAUUUGCGGUGUAGCAGUGAAAUGCGUAGAGAUCGGAAGGAACAUCUGUGGCGAAGGCGACUAUCUGGGCCAACACUGACACUGAGGCACGAAAGCGUGGGGAGCAAACAGGAUUAGAUACCCCUGUAGUCCCUGUCUCUUAUAC